ACGCGCGAGUGACCGAUCGCUGCCGAAAGGUAGAGGAAAGUCCGGACUCCGCAGGGCAAGGGACCCGUUUGUUAAGGGCGGGAGACGAAGGUAAAUCCUUCGUGAUGGAAAGUGCCACAGAAAUAUACCGCCGAGCGUUCGCGUUCGGUAAGGGUGAAAAGGUGAGGUAAGAGCUCACCGCCGCGUCUGAAACGCCGUGGGCCAGGUAAACCCUCUCUGGAGCAAGAUCAAAUAGGGGAUCGACGGGCUGCUCGUUCGGUGUCGAGGCUGAUGAGGCCAAGACUUAAGAUCUCGGGUUGAUUGCUUAGAUGAAUGAUCGGAUCCGCUCUCGCUUGACGUUAGGGCGGAGAACAGAAUCUGGCUUAUUCGCCGCGUGUCACU
rnacentral:RNase_P_RNA from 1 species